CCUACGGGGGGCAGCAGUAAGGGAUAUUGGUCAAUGGGGGAAACCCUGAACCAGCAACGCCGCGUGAGGGAAGACGGUUUUCGGAUUGUAAACCUCUGUCCUCUGUGAAGAUGAUGACGGUAGCAGAGGAGGAAGCUCCGGCUAACUCCGGGCCAGCAGCCGCGGUAAUACGUAGGGGGCAAGCGUUAUCCGGAUUUACUGGGUGUAAAGGGGGCGUAGGCGGAAAGGCAAGUCAGAAGUGAAAGCCCAAGGCUCAACCAUGAGACUGCUUUUGAAACUGUCAAACUAGAGUACGGGAGAGGUAAGAGGAAUUCCUAGUGUAGCGGUGAAAUGCGUAGAUAUUAGGAAGAACACCAGUGGCGAAGGCGUCUUACUGGACCGAAACUGACGUUGAGGCUCGAAAGCGUGGGUAGCAAACAGGAUUAGAUACCCCAGUAGUC
rnacentral:rRNA from 1 species